AUGCUCGCUUCGGCAGCACAUAUACUAAAACUGGAACGAUACAGAGAUUAGCGUGGCCCCUGUGCAAGGAUGACACACAAAUUCACAAAGCGUUCCAUAUUCUU
rnacentral:snRNA from 1 species